rnacentral:rRNA from 1 species
CAAUAGCGUAUAUUAAAGUUGUUGCGGUUAAAAAGCUCGUAGUUGGAUCUCGGCAGGCAGGGGGUGGUUCGCUCUUAGCGCUACUGCCCCAUUUGCCUGUGUGAUUGGCGGAGGUUUCGGGGUGCUCUUCGUUGAGUGACCCGGGGCGCCGUCAGGUUUACUUUGAAAAAAUUAGAGUGCUCAAAGCAGGCUUUUCACACUUGAAUAUUCGUGCAUGGAAUAAUGGAAUAGGAACUCGUUUCUAUUUUGUUGGUUUUCGGAAAUCGAGUUAAUGAUUAAUAGGGACAAUUGGGGGCAUUAGUAUUCAGACGACAGAGGUGAAAUUCUUGGACCGUCUGAAGACUAACUACUGCGAAAGCAUUUGCCAAGAGUGUUUUCAUUAA